GGUCAAGUGAAGAAGCGCAUACGGUGGAUGCCUUGGCAGUCAGAGGCGAUGAAAGACGUGGUAGCCUGCGAAAAGCUUCGGGGAGUCGGCAAACAGACUUUGAUCCGGAGAUCUCUGAAUGGGGGAACCCACCUAGGAUAACCUAGGUAUCUUGUACUGAAUCCAUAGGUGCAAGAGGCGAACCAGGGGAACUGAAACAUCUAAGUACCCUGAGGAAAAGAAAUCAACCGAGAUUCCCUUAGUAGUGGCGAGCGAACGGGGAUUAGCCCUUAAGCUUCAUUGAUUUUAGCGGAACGCUCUGGAAAGUGCGGCCAUAGUGGGUGAUAGCCCCGUACGCGAAAGGAUCUUUGAAGUGAAAUCGAGUAGGACGGAGCACGAGAAACUUUGUCUGAACAUGGGGGGACCAUCCUCCAAGGCUAAAUACUACUGACUGACCGAUAGUGAACCAGUACCGUGAGGGAAAGGCGAAAAGAACCCCGGAGAGGGGAGUGAAAUAGAACCUGAAACCGUAUGCGUACAAGCAGUGGGAGCCUACUUGUUAGGUGACUGCGUACCUUUUGUAUAAUGGGUCAGCGACUUAUAUUCAGUGGCAAGCUUAACCGUAUAGGGUAGGCGUAGCGAAAGCGAGUCUUAAUAGGGCGUUUAGUCGCUGGGUAUAGACCCGAAACCGGGCGAUCUAUCCAUGAGCAGGUUGAAGGUUAGGUAACACUGACUGGAGGACCGAACCCACUCCCGUUGAAAAGGUAGGGGAUGACUUGUGGAUCGGAGUGAAAGGCUAAUCAAGCUCGGAGAUAGCUGGUUCUCCUCGAAAGCUAUUUAGGUAGCGCCUCAUGUAUCACUCUGGGGGGUAGAGCACUGUUUCGGCUAGGGGGGCAUCCCGACUUACCAAACCGAUGCAAACUCCGAAUACCCAGAAGUGCCGAGCAUGGGAGACACACGGCGGGUGCUAACGUCCGUCGUGAAAAGGGAAACAACCCAGACCGCCAGCUAAGGUCCCAAAGUUGUGGUUAAGUGGUAAACGAUGUGGGAAGGCUUAGACAGCUAGGAGGUUGGCUUAGAAGCAGCCAUCCUUUAAAGAAAGCGUAAUAGCUCACUAGUCGAGUCGGCCUGCGCGGAAGAUGUAACGGGGCUCAAACCACACACCGAAGCUGCGGGUGUCACGUAAGUGACGCGGUAGAGGAGCGUUCUGUAAGCCUGUGAAGGUGAGUUGAGAAGCUUGCUGGAGGUAUCAGAAGUGCGAAUGCUGACAUGAGUAACGACAAUGGGUGUGAAAAACACCCACGCCGAAAGACCAAGGGUUCCUGCGCAACGUUAAUCGACGCAGGGUUAGUCGGUUCCUAAGGCGAGGCUGAAAAGCGUAGUCGAUGGGAAACAGGUUAAUAUUCCUGUACUUCUGGUUACUGCGAUGGAGGGACGGAGAAGGCUAGGCCAGCUUGGCGUUGGUUGUCCAAGUUUAAGGUGGUAGGCUGAAAUCUUAGGUAAAUCCGGGGUUUCAAGGCCGAGAGCUGAUGACGAGUCGUCUUUUAGAUGACGAAGUGGUUGAUGCCAUGCUUCCAAGAAAAGCUUCUAAGCUUCAGGUAACCAGGAACCGUACCCCAAACCGACACAGGUGGUCGGGUAGAGAAUACCAAGGCGCUUGAGAGAACUCGGGUGAAGGAACUAGGCAAAAUGGCACCGUAACUUCGGGAGAAGGUGCGCCGGCUAGGGUGAAGGAUUUACUCCGUAAGCUCUGGCUGGUCGAAGAUACCAGGCCGCUGCGACUGUUUAUUAAAAACACAGCACUCUGCAAACACGAAAGUGGACGUAUAGGGUGUGACGCCUGCCCGGUGCCGGAAGGUUAAUUGAUGGGGUUAGCGCAAGCGAAGCUCUUGAUCGAAGCCCCGGUAAACGGCGGCCGUAACUAUAACGGUCCUAAGGUAGCGAAAUUCCUUGUCGGGUAAGUUCCGACCUGCACGAAUGGCGUAACGAUGGCGGCGCUGUCUCCACCCGAGACUCAGUGAAAUUGAAAUCGCUGUGAAGAUGCAGUGUAUCCGCGGCUAGACGGAAAGACCCCGUGAACCUUUACUGUAGCUUUGCACUGGACUUUGAGCCUGCUUGUGUAGGAUAGGUGGGAGGCUUUGAAGCGUGGACGCCAGUUCGCGUGGAGCCAUCCUUGAAAUACCACCCUGGCAUGCUUGAGGUUCUAACUCUGGUCCGUGAUCCGGAUCGAGGACAGUGUAUGGUGGGCAGUUUGACUGGGGCGGUCUCCUCCUAAAGAGUAACGGAGGAGUACGAAGGUGCGCUCAGACCGGUCGGAAAUCGGUCGCAGAGUAUAAAGGCAAAAGCGCGCUUGACUGCGAGACAGACACGUCGAGCAGGUACGAAAGUAGGUCUUAGUGAUCCGGUGGUUCUGUAUGGAAGGGCCAUCGCUCAACGGAUAAAAGGUACUCCGGGGAUAACAGGCUGAUACCGCCCAAGAGUUCAUAUCGACGGCGGUGUUUGGCACCUCGAUGUCGGCUCAUCACAUCCUGGGGCUGAAGCCGGUCCCAAGGGUAUGGCUGUUCGCCAUUUAAAGUGGUACGCGAGCUGGGUUUAGAACGUCGUGAGACAGUUCGGUCUCUAUCUGCCGUGGACGUUUGAGAUUUGAGAGGGGCUGCUCCUAGUACGAGAGGACCGGAGUGGACGAACCUCUGGUGUUCCGGUUGUCACGCCAGUGGCAUUGCCGGGUAGCUAUGUUCGGAAAAGAUAACCGCUGAAAGCAUCUAAGCGGGAAACUUGCCUCAAGAUGAGAUCUCACUGGGAACUUGAUUCCCCUGAAGGGCCGUCGAAGACUACGACGUUGAUAGGCUGGGUGUGUAAGCGUUGUGAGGCGUUGAGCUAACCAGUACUAAUUGCCCGUGAGACUUGACCAU
rnacentral:rRNA from 1 species